rnacentral:rRNA from 1 species
AUUGAACGCUGGCGGUAGGCCUAACACAUGCAAGUCGAACGAGUUGCGGACGGGUGAGGAAUACAUCGGCAUCUACUCUGUCGUGGGGGCUAACGUAGGGAAACUUACGCUAAUACCGCAUAAGAUUCAAUGAGCCGAUGUCGGAUUAGCUAGUUGGCGGGGUAAAGGCCCACCAAGGCGACGAUCCGUAGCUGGUCUGAGAGGAUGAUCAGCAACACUGGAACUGAGACACGGUCCAGACUCCUACGGGAGGCAGCAGUGGGGAAUAUUGGACAAUGGGCGAAAGCCUGACCCAGCCAUACCGCGUGGGUGAAGAAGGCCUUCGGGUUGUAAAGCCCUGUUGUUGGGAAAGCGGUACCCAAAGAAGAAGCACCGGCUAACUUCGUGCCAGCAGCCGCGGUAAUAC